rnacentral:rRNA from 1 species
UACAGAGGGGGCAAGCGUUAUUCGGAAUUAUUGGGCGUAAAGGGCGCGUAGGCGGCUUGGCAAGUGGAUGGUGAAAUCCCUCGGCUUAACCGAGGAACUGCCAUCCAGACUGCUUUGCUUGAGGCCGGGAGAGGUGAGUGGAAUUCCCAGUGUAGCGGUGAAAUGCGUAGAUAUCCUGAGGAACGCCGGUGGCGAAAGCGACGUGCUGGACCUCUUCUGACGCUGAGGCGCGAAAGCCAGGGGAGCAAACGGG